UGGAAAUUCACUGCAAAAAAGAAACAUAUUGUAUGAGGGAGAAGCAUGGAAGGAUGCUGUUACCAGGAAACCAGACUCAAGUGUUACUGUACAGAAGGAAAUGGCAACCCACUCCAGUGUUCUUGCCUGGAGAAUCCCAGGGACGCGGGAGCCUGGUGGGCUGCGGUCUAUGGGGUCGCACAGAGUCGGACACGACUGAAGUGACUUAGCAGCAGCAGCAUUGUCUCUUUGACCUGAUAUGUCUUCACAAUGACCCACGCGCUUCCUGCGCUAAGUACAGCACACCAGCAAUACUGCACCUCCAUGUCACACACCAUACCUGAAAACCGCGUCACAGAGCAAAAGCCAGCUAUCAUGUAACUGACC